UCGUGACUGGCUGUUUCAACAGCUGUUGUCACAUGCAGUAAUUGGACGUGUUAAAAGCCAGAUUAAGGAUUUGAGAAAAGGUAUCAAAGAAACUGGUAUCUGGCCACUUCUAUCCCAGAGACACGACAUGCAACGCAUAGUUUUCCCAAGGGAUUCAGUUAUGGAACAUUACAUCACAGACAGUCCUUCAAAAAAUUGAAUGGCCAAAGGACAAUGACUCUAUUUCUGUUGAGACAAAGUGCGUCAUCACAAGCUAUAUGCGAAG